rnacentral:rRNA from 1 species
UACGGAGGUGGCGAGCGUUAAUCGGAAUAACUGGGCGUAAAGGGCACGCAGGCGGUUUUUUAAGUGAGAUGUGAAAUCCCCGGGCUUAACCUGGGAAUUGCAUUUCAGACUGGGAAUCUAGAGUACUGUAGGGAGGGGUAGAAUUCCACGUGUAGCGGUGAAAUGCGUAGAGAUGUGGAGGAAUACCGAAGGCGAAGGCAGCCCCUUGGGAAUGUACUGACGCUCAUAUGCGAAAGCGUGGGGAGCAAACAGG